AAAGUCCUUUGUGAGAGAGGACCGCUCGGUCAACGAUGGCGGCGCCUGGCGGAACGUUAAAUUGUGAGGACUUUUCCAUGUUUCAGGAGGUCCUGAGGCUCAUGCGCAACAUUGACGAUCGCAUCGUCCACGCCCUAAACACCACCGUGCCCACUGUCUCCUUCUCAGCCAAAAUUGACGCUACACAAACUUGCAAGGAACUGUAUGAUUCGAUGAUAGAGGCCCAUCUCAGCCGGGACAAAGCCAUCAAGGCAUGCAUCACGCACACCUCCGAGGUUGUAGGGCAACUGCGGGAGGCAAGACUGAAGAACAAUGCCGACAUAGCACUCAUCAAACAGCUCAGGAAGGAGCAGACCAAACUAAAGCUCAUGCAGUCCGAGAUGAAUGUCGAGGAAGUCGUCAAAGAUAGAAGUCUGAAGGUGGGAGAGGGCUGCAUGUAGUGCAGAGGAGAUGGCGUCAUCCGUGCUCCUGUUUGCUCGGUAGGCAAAUUGGUGUUUGUCCAGAGAAGGUGAGAGCCCAGAUUUGCCGUGACCCAGGAGCAGCCUCUCGAGGCACUUUAUGAGGUGGGAGACGAGUGCAACUGGCCGGUAGUCGUUGAGGCCCUUCGCAGAGGAGUGUUUAGGCAACGGCACAAUGGAGGUGGUCUUGAAGCACAACUGGGACAGUUGCCUGGGCCAGAGACAGGUUUUUAACGAAAGGUGCCGAGUACACUACACGCCUCCCAAGGCGGAAUUAUGGUUUGUUCCAUCCAAAUGACUGAGACCGAUCCAGAAACUGUGACCAUGCCACUGACAUCUUGGCUUCAGAAUGCCUGCUCACAUCUACCAUGCUUCGUUCUGUGUGUGUUGAGUUGAUGACAAAUAUUGUAUUUUCUUUUUCAAAACAUUAAACUGAAAUGUUUAUAAACAGACAA